UUGUUUAAAUUUACUUAAACUCCGACGCAAAGAUGCAGGGUUUGAAGGCCUCCGGGGGCGCUCGCCGACGCGAAUCGGCAGGGUCGCCCCCGAAGCAACAAGUUGUGUUCACAAAGGGUUGGAGGUCGAGCCCGAGGGCCCUCACUCAGUAAUGAUCCCUCCGCAGGUUCACCUACGGAGA
rnacentral:misc_RNA from 1 species